rnacentral:rRNA from 1 species
UACGAAGGGUGCAAGCGUUACUCGGAAUUACUGGGCGUAAAGCGUGCGUAGGUGGUUUGUUAAGUCUGUUGUGAAAGCCCCGGGCUCAACCUGGGAAUGGCGAUGGAUACUGGCAGGCUAGAGUGCGGUAGAGGGUAGUGGAAUUCCCGGUGUAGCGGUGAAAUGCGUAGAGAUCGGGAGGAACACCAGUGGCGAAGGCGGCUACCUGGACCAGCACUGACACUGAGGCACGAAAGCGUGGGGAGCAAACAGG